rnacentral:lncRNA from 10 species
AUUCUCACAGCUGUUAGGACUUCAAUGAUGUUAUAAGGAAGUUGGGGCUCAGAGAAGCUACAGAACUUACCCAAGGACACACAGCCAUCACGUCUUCCAAUUAAGAGGAACUGUGUUUGAAGAGCUAUUAUUAAAGAACCACCCCUGAGAAGCUUUAUUUUCCCCUGGACCCAAUUUAGAGAAUGACAUACUGGACUUCUGGCUGAUGCUGUAAUGGGGUAAGACUUUGGGGGACCUUAGGAGGCAGGUGAGUGAACUUUGCAUGUGUGAGAGAUAUAAAUUAUUGGGAUUGAUAUUUUUUCUUUUUAAAAUAGUUCAUUUGUAAUUGCUGUAGAUGCACAAGUUAUACAUAUUUAUAGGGUACUUGUGACAUUGAUACAAGCCUACGACAUGUAAUGAUCAAACUGGGGUGAUUAGGGUAUCCAUCACCUCAAGCACUUAUCAUUUCUUUGUGCUAGGAACAUCCCAAUCUCACUCUUUUAAUUAAUUUGAAAUACAAAAUAAAUCUUUCUUAACUAUAGUUGCCCUAUUGUGCUACUGAAAACUAGAUCUUAUUCUUUCUGUCUGAUUGUAUUUUUUGUACCCAUCAAUCAUCCCCUGUUUAGCCCUCCUCUCCACUACCUUUCCCAGCCUCUGGUAACCAACCCUUCCCAGCCUCUGGUAACCAUCAUUCUAUUCUCUGUUUCCAUUAGUUCAAUUUUUUUUUUAUAGCUUCCACAUAUUAGUGAGAACACAUGAUAUUUGUCUUUCUGUGCCUGGCUCAUUUCACUUGACAUAAUGUCCUCCAAUUCCAUCUAUGUUGUUGCAAAUUACCAGAUUAUUUUUUAUGGCUAAUAUGUCAUUGUGUAUAUAUGCCACAUCUUCUUUAGCCAUUCAUCUGCUGAUAGACACUUAGGUUGAUUCCACCUCUUGGUGUGGGAUUGACAUCUUGACUGAAAUCUCCUGAGAGACUCCCAAACCAGAACUACACAACUAAGCUAUUCUCAAAUUCAAGACCCACAGACUGUGUGAGAUAAUAAAGGUUAAUUAUUGUUUUAAGUUGCUAAGUUUUGAUGUAAUUAGUUUUGCAGCAAUAAAUAACUAAUACAAAAAUGAAUCACAAUAUUUGGAUCAGCAAUAAAUUUUAUAUAAUGUAAAAACAUCAAUAAUUUAAAUUAAUUAAAAUAAAUUAAUAUUUAAAAGUUGGAUGGCCAGGCACAGUGGCUCACGCCUGUAAUCCCAGCACUUUGGGAGGCCACAUCAUGAGGUUGGUAGAUCAUGAGGUUAGGAGAUCGAGACCUCACUGGCUAACACGGUGAAACCCUGUCUCUACUAAAAAUACAGAAAAUUAGCUGGGCGUGGUGGUGAGGACCUGCAGUUCCAGCUACUCAGGAGGCUGAGACAAGAGAAUAGCAUGAACCCGGGAGGCAGAGCUUGCAGGAAGCCGAGAUCGCCCAGGAAGCCGAGAUAGCGCAACUGUACUCCAGCCUGGGUGACAGAGCGAGACUCCAUCUCAAAAAAAAAAAAAAAAAAAAAUUGGGGUAUAGCCAUAUUGGAGCAAAGGAAAGGCAAACAGGUAGAGAUACAAGAGCUAAAAACCUACAUCCCUUAACAGAGUCAGUGAACACCAUCUAAAACUGAUGCAUAAAUAGCAGAACAUGCAUAUUAUGUAGAAAAUACGGAGACAAAUAUCAGAAGAAUUACCUAAAAUUGUUGAAAGGCCUUGUUUCUUUUUUUUUCUUUAUUAUUGUACUUUAAGUUCUAGGGUACAUGUGCACAAUGUGCAGGUUUGUUACAUAUGUAUACAUGUCCCAUGUUGGUGUGCUGCACCCAUUAACUCGUCAUUUACAUUAGGUAUAUCUCCUAAUGCUAUCCCUCCCCCCUCCCCCCACCCCACAACAUUCCCCGAUGUGUGAUGUUCCCCUUCCUGUGUUCAUGUGUUCUCAUUGUUCAAUUCCCACCUAUGAGUGAAAACGUGGUG